GAUGAACGCUAGCGGCAGGCCUAAUACAUGCAAGUCGGACGGGAUUGGAGAGCUUGCUUUCCAUGAGAGUGGCGCACGGGUGCGUAACACGUAUGUAACCUACCCAUAUCAGGGGGAUAGCCUCUCGAAAGAGAGAUUAAGCCCGCAUAACAUCACGGGACAGCAUUGUACUGUGAUCAAAUAUUUAUAGGAUAUGGAUGGGCAUGCGGAACAUUAGCUAGUUGGCGGGGUAACGGCCCACCAAGGCGACGAUGUUUAGGGGAUCUGAGAGGAUGGCCCCCCACACUGGUACUGAGACACGGGACCAGACUCCUACGGGAGGCAGCAGUAAGGAAUAUUGGUCAAUGGGCGAAGCCUGAACCAGCCAUGCCGCGUGCAGGAAGAC
rnacentral:rRNA from 1 species